GCGAUAAGCGCUUAGUUGUCGUCAAGCAGCGAAUUCUCAAAAACAUCGAUUCGCCUUCGGUCCGUUAUUUUACUUACACAAAGAAGGUGGCGUACGUGAUCAUAGGCGCGAACGGUUGCGAGACCCGAGCGUGUUAGGGGUCGUCUCCAAGAGAAGAGAAAGGAAAAAAUUGAAGGGCAGUCAGUAGCAUACGAGGAUUCAAACCGAAUGCAUCGAGAGUUUCAGAGAAAUAAAAUCAAGUUCGCUUAGUCAAACGAAUACGUCGAGAAAUAUUAUAAAGUCGAGUCGAAUUAUAAUAAUAAACUAGUUGUAUCAUUGUUAAAUCAUUUGUAACGCGUUAGUUAUAAUUUUAAGUAUUGUUAAAAACAGAAGCUUAUAUUAACCCUGUUAA